rnacentral:rRNA from 1 species
ACGGAGGAUCCAAGCGUUAUCCGGAUUCAUUGGGUUUAAAGGGUGCGUAGGCGGACUGAUAAGUCAGUGGUGAAAGCCUACAGCUUAACUGUAGAACUGCCAUUGAUACUGAUAGCCUGGAGUAUGGUUAAGGUAGCUGGAAUGUGUAAUGUAGCGGUGAAAUGCUUAGAGAUGACACAGAACACCAAUUGCGUAGGCAGGUUACUGAGCCGACACUGACGCUGAGGCACGAAAGCGUGGGGAUCGAACAG